GGUGUUAUGAAUUACCUUUAACAUACACUAAGAAAACUCAUUACGACCAAAAAGAUUGAACUCCGAUAAAGCAGUCAAGCAACUUUUAACAAAGGUCAUCUGCGCGUUUACAAAUACACUGUUUCUCCAGGUGGUCGUGUUAGUGUUCGUAUAUUGGUCCGUCAACUUCAUAGAGGCAACCGAAAAGCAAGUCGUGGUUUAUAGAGACCUGUACUUACGAGCAGGCACUCUACCGUCAGGUUUCAAUGGGAAAAUGACUAUCUAUGCUUGAACAUAAGAAGCUGACAAAACACUCAUUGGUCAGAUGGGAGUCAGUUUCUUUUUACUGCCAGUAGACGCCAUAAUACGAAUUUCGCGGGGAAACAAAACGGCCUAUGACCAAAACAAUGUUUGCACAAGGACUGCAUUCAGUGCUGGUGGUGUUCCAGUACGGGGUUGCUUCUUAUACCGUUAUAAGCUGGGUAUGCAUAUUCUGCAGGGUAACAUAAACGGACAGACAUACAGAGAUUUGGUGCCUUAAAACAUUGUAGUCCCUCAUUUUAAUAAUCCCCCACUUGCGUCAACAUUGUCAAGACCCUUGUACAUGGACGACAACGCUAGACCACACAGGGCAAGGAUUUUAACCGAGUCCAAAGAGCAACAAGCCAUUUACACUAUUGUUUGGCCUUCCAUGUCUCCAAACAUAAACCCU
rnacentral:lncRNA from 1 species